rnacentral:rRNA from 1 species
UACGGGGGGGGCAAGCGUUGUUCGGAAUUACUGGGCGUAAAGGGCUCGUAGGCGGCCAACUAAGUCAUACGUGAAAUCCCUCGGCUUAACCGGGGAACUGCGUCUGAUACUGGAUGGCUUGAGUUCGGGAGAGGGAUGCGGAAUUCCAGGUGUAGCGGUGAAAUGCGUAGAUAUCUGGAGGAACACCGGUGGCGAAGGCGGCAUCCUGGACCGGCAUUGACGCUGAUGAGCGAAAGCUAGGGGAGCAAACGGG